UACGUAGGGCGCGAGCGUUGUCCGGAAUCAUUGGGCGUAAAGCGCGUGUAGGCGGCUGAGUAAGUCUGCUGUGAAAGUCCAGGGCUCAACCCUGGGAUGUCGGCGGAUACUGCUCAGCUGGAGUACGGGAGGGGCGAGUGGAAUUCCUGGUGUAGCGGUGAAAUGCGCAGAUAUCAGGAAGAACACCCGUGGCGAAGGCGGCUCUCUGGGACGGUACUGACGCUGAGACGCGAAAGCGUGGGGAGCGAACAGG
rnacentral:rRNA from 1 species